AGGCUCGGCGUUGGCCUCCGCGGCCCGUGCGAGUGCGCCCUUCUCGGGUCCCCUAGGUCGCGGGGCAGCCGGGGCGGAAGGGGCUUGUUCAUUAUUUUGAGAGUUUGUUGUGAACGUCAUAACCUUUCGUCCUUAAAUAUUGCCGAUACUUGACCUACGCAAGAGACAAUGUCAUGUGAUUCAGCCUAAUAUCUCAGAGGAUGCAGCAUUCAAGGUUCUAUCUUGGAAGCAGAGACUGUGCCCUCACCAGAUGCUGAACCUGCUGAGCACCCUGAUCUUCCACUUCACCUUCAUCAGAACUGGUGCUAAGAAUUCUGAAUUUAUUGAGGAAAUAAAUGUCUGAUUGCAACAAAAGAAAACUUGUCUGGCUUUGGGAAGGAAGAGGCUUAGGAAAAAAAUUAAAGGCGUCUUUACUAGAAGUUCAAGACUGGGGCUGUGGCUGAGAUGUCACAUGGCAGAUAGGAUCACAAAUUUCUGUUGUAUCUGGAUGGAGAUCAGCAGGAGGAUCUAUGGGUGAGAAGAAGCACAGUUACAGAUGGAUUCUAGAGCCUGCUUGCUGACACAGGCUUGCAACUGCGGACUUUAUAAGCUUAGUUUUUAAUCUGCUAUCAGCUAGCAUAAUACCAUAAAUGCAUAAGAAACUAAGUAUUCAGUCUUACGAGAAAUGCUAUCUUGACCUGACCCUUUCUCCAAAUAAAUUGACAAAA
rnacentral:lncRNA from 1 species